rnacentral:rRNA from 1 species
AGCGAACGCCGGCGGCAGGCUUAACACAUGCAAGUCGAACGCCCCGCAAGGGGAGUGGCAGACGGGUGAGUAACACGUGGGAACGUACCCUUUGGUUCGGAAUAACUUGGGGAAACUCAAGCUAAUACCGGAUAAGCCCUUAUGGGGAAAGGUUUACUGCCGAAGGAUCGGCCCGCGUCUGAUUAGCUAGUUGGUGAGGUAAUGGCUCACCAAGGCGACGAUCAGUAGCUGGUCUGAGAGGAUGAUCAGCCACACUGGGACUGAGACACGGCCCAGGCUCCUACGGGAGGCAGCAGUGGGGAAUAUUGGACAAUGGGGGCAACCCUGAUCCAGCCAUGCCGCGUGAGUGAUGAAGGCCUUAGGGUUGUAAAGCCCUUUUACCCGGGACGAUAAUGACUGUACCGGGAGAAUAAGCCCCGGCUAACUUCGUGCCAGCCGCCGCAGUAA